AGAUGGGGCUAGGGAAGGGGUUCAGAGUGGCACUCAGAGAGGGCAUGAGGCUUAAUCAGUGGCAUCUCUGGUAAGAAGAUUGGCCCCCCGCUGCUCUAGAGUUUGAGGGCUGGACCUGACUAGUUGAUCAGGCAUCACAGAUGAGGCAGAAAAUGGCCUUAAUGUAAUAGUAGCUGGAGAUUUUUCUGCACUAGCAGAAUCUCCACAUGAUAUAAUGACUGUGUAGCAAGCUCUGUGUCCCCUGCUCCAACUCUUCCUGGCAUAAGAGCUGCGUCACAGGGUCAGGAGCCAUGCCAUGGUGCGUCAGAAGUGAGAGGAUAUGUAAGCAGAUCACUUUGCACCCCAGCAACUGCCGUCUGGUAUAUGGUCCCCGAAGGACUGACCACUCUUGCCAGUGAGCUUAGGGAAGAACUUGUGUCCCCAGAUGGGGGAGUAAAACAUUAGCUUAGGGUCACCUAGUAUCUCUUCUUGCAUACUGCACCAAGCACACUUUGGCCAGGCCCACAAAUCUGGCUUUGGUAUUUCUUACCCAGGAACUGGACUGGACUCCUUAACAGAUAUAGGAGAUGAGAAAAAUGUGAGAGAUGUGAGUGUAUUCCAUUGAUUGAGUCUCUCCUAGCUUAAAUGAAAUGAAUAGCAUUUGGUUGGGGUGUGUGUGCGCACAUGCGUGUGUAAUGCUCCUUAUACAUCACAUAUCCCAUAGAACUUUACAAAGCAAAACUAAAAGAAAUACAUAGUUUGGACAUGGAAGAAGAGAAAGGUGGUUUGAAAGUCUUGGCAACAGCACUUUAUAGUUAUAUGAGUUUUCAUCCUGAAGAAUCUUCGUAAUUUUAAACACAUUUACAUCCAUAGUGCCAGUGAAAUGUAACCACCUCUGAGGUGGAAGGUAGCAAGAAUACUGCUGGCAUGAGACUAUUCCUAUAAAAUAUGGAGAAGUUUUUACCCUUAUUUAUUAAAGCUCUGGAAGAGAGCACUCUGAACGUCUAAAAAGACAGCACUUUGGCUUCCUUAAAGGUCUCUCAUGCAUCUCAUGAGGAUGGCAAUGUGGAGACAAUGGAGCUGAAUGCUCCCAAGAGGCUGGGAAGAGAAACGUUUAUGGCAAGAUGGGUGGAAACUACAGGAGUCACUGGAAGCACACAUGCCGUGUAUGUGAUUCAUAAAGAAAUAGUAAUUUUACACAGGCCUGGAACUGUGCAAAUACUCCACGGUGCAAGUAUAUGAGAGACCAGACCUAUAUGCCGAUGUGAGGAAAAUGAAGUCAGCGGCAGGAAUGCAUUAUUGACCUUUAAACCCUUGCAAGCAGUGACUGAAUUUGUCCAAGGGCUGUAAUCUUUCCAUGACCUGAUAUUGCUGAAAUAGUAUUUUGACAUGCUCCCCAAUGAAUGAAUAAUGGAACCAAAGAAAACCGUAUUUCUUUCUUGUCUCAAUAAAAAAAAAAAGGUUACCUAUAGCACCAACAAUAUAUUGUACCUCCCCGUCAAAGGAUCACUUUAACAAUUUAACUCCUGUUCAGUCUACAGGCAGAGACCCCUUCAUCCACAACUGAAAUGCAGCUGCCACCAGAAUGAUGUUCAUCACUGUAUGACAGUGCACAGCAGUCAGAGAUAGCAGGGGAGGACUGGAAGUAAUGAAUAGUUCUGCACCCAAUGGAGACUGCAGGGAGGUAUCAGGUUGUCCAGAGAAGUGGACAGAGAGAACGAAGAGGACAGAGAUGCAACUGGACCUGGAGAUAGCGGGAAGGACUACAACAGGAUCAGCAGCAGGGGAAGUGACAGCGACAGCGACAAGGACAGUGAAUGAACUGAGA